rnacentral:rRNA from 1 species
AUUGAACGCUGGCGGCAGGCCUAACACAUGCAAGUCGAGCGGAUGAGAGGAGCUUGCUUCUCGAUUCAGCGGCGGACGGGUGAGUAAUGCCUAGGAAUCUGCCUGGUAGUGGGGGACAACGUUUCGAAAGGAACGCUAAUACCGCAUACGUCCUACGGGAGAAAGCAGGGGACCUUCGGGCCUUGCGCUAUCAGAUGAGCCUAGGGCGGAUUAGCUAGUUGGUGAGGUAAGGGCUCACCAAGGCGACGAACCGUAACUGGUCUGAGAGGAUGAUCAGUCACACUGGAACUGAGACACGGUCCAGACUCCUACGGGAGGCAGCAGUGGGGAAUAUUGGACAAUGGGCGAAAGCCUGAUCCAGCCAUGCCGCGUGUGUGAAGAAGGUCUUCGGAUUGUAAAGCACUUUAAGUUGGGAGGAAGGGUUGUAGAUUAAUACUCUGCAAUUUUGACGUUACCGACAGAAUAAGCAUCGGCUAACUCUGUGCCAGCCGCCGCGGUAACAC